AUCCGGAAACGGGUGCUAAUACCGCAUAGUUUUCUUGAUCGCAUGAUUGAGAAAGGAAAGACGGCCUUUGUGCUGUCGCUUAUGGAUGGACCCGCGGCGUAUUAGUUAGUUGGUGAGGUAACGGCUCACCAAGACGAUGAUACGUAGCCGACCUGAGAGGGUGAUCGGCCACAUUGGGACUCGAGACACGGCCCAAACUCCUACGGGAGGCAGCAGUAGGGAAUCUUCCGCAAUGGACGAAAGUCUGACGGAGCAACGCCGCGUGAGUGAAGAAGGGUUUUUUCCGGAUCGUAAAACUCUGUUGUCAGAGAAGAACAAGUUUGGAGAGUAACUGCUCCAGCCUUGACGGUAUCUGACCAGAAAGCCACGGCUAACUACGUGCCAGCAGCAGC
rnacentral:rRNA from 1 species